rnacentral:rRNA from 1 species
AACACCUGGAAACAGAUGCUAAUACCGCAUAACAACUUGGACCGCAUGGUCCGAGCUUGAAAGAUGGCUUCAGCUAUCACUUUUGGAUGGUCCCGCGGCGUAUUAGCUAGAUGGUGGGGUAACGGCUCACCAUGGCAAUGAUACGUAGCCGACCUGAGAGGGUAAUCAGCCACAUUGGGACUGAGACACGGCCCAAACUCCUACGGGAGGCAGCAGUAGGGAAUCUUCCACAAUGGACGAAAGUCUGAUGGAGCAACGCCGCGUGAGUGAAGAAGGGUUUCGGCUCGUAAAACUCUGUUGUUAAAGAAGAACAUAUCUGAGAGUAACUGUUCAGGUAUUGACGGUAUUUAACCAGAAAGCCACGGCUAACUACGUGCCAGCAGCCGCGGUAAUACGUAGGUGGCAAGCGUUGUCCGGAUUUAUUGGGCGUAAAGCGAGCGCAGGCGGUUUUUUAAGUCUGAUGUGAAAGCCUUCGGCUCAACCGAAGAAGUGCAUCGGAAACUGGGAAACUUGAGUGCAGAAGAGGACAGUGGAACUCCAUGUGUAGCGGUGAAAUGCGUAGAUAUAUGGAAGAACACCAGUGGCGAAGGCGGCUGUCUGGUCUGUAACUGACGCUGAGGCUCGAAAGUAUGGGUAGCAAACAGGAUUAGAUACCCUGGUAGUCCAUACCGUAAACGAUGAAUGCUAAGUGUUGGAGGGUUUCCGCCCUUCAGUGCUGCAGCUAACGCAUUAAGCAUUCCGCCUGGGGAGUACGGCCGCAAGGCUGAAACUCAAAGGAAUUGACGGGGGCCCGCACAAGCGGUGGAGCAUGUGGUUUAAUUCGAAGCUACGCGAAGAACCUUACCAGGUCUUGACAUACUAUGCAAAUCUAAGAGAUUAGACGUUCCCUUCGGGGACAUGGAUACAGGUGGUGCAUGGUUGUCGUCAGCUCGUGUCGUGAGAUGUUGGGUUAAGUCCCGCAACGAGCGCAACCCUUAUUAUCAGUUGCCAGCAUUAAGUUGGGCACUCUGGUGAGACUGCCGGUGACAAACCGGAGGAAGGUGGGGAUGACGUCAAAUCAUCAUGCCCCUUAUGACCUGGGCUACACACGUGCUACAAUGGAUGGUACAACGAGUUGCGAACUCGCGAGAGUAAGCUAAUCUCUUAAAGCCAUUCUCAGUUCGGAUUGUAGGCUGCAACUCGCCUACAUGAAGUCGGAAUCGCUAGUAAUCGCGGAUCAGCAUGCCGCGGUGAAUACGUUCCCGGGCCUUGUACACACCGCCCGUCACACCAUGAGAGUUUGUAACACCCAAAGUCGGUGGGUGUAACC